rnacentral:rRNA from 1 species
AACGAACGCUGGCGGCAUGCCUAACACAUGCAAGUCGAACGAGACCUUCGGGUCUAGUGGCGCACGGGUGCGUCACGCGUGGGAACCUUCCCUUAUGUUCGGAAUAACUCCCCGACAGGGGUGCCAAUACCGGAUAAUGUCUUCGGACCAAAGAUUUAUUGACUUUGGAUGGGCCCGCGUUGGAUUAGCUCGUUGGUAGGGUAAUAGCCUACCAAGGGGACGAUCCAUAGCUGGGUUGAGAGGAUGAUCAGCAACACUGGGACUGAGACACGGCCGAGACUCCUACGGGAGGCAGCAGUGGGGAAUAUUGGACAAUGGGCGAAAGCCUGAUCCAGCAAUGCCGCGAGAGUGAUGAAGGCCGUAGGGUUGUAAAGCUCUUUUAACCGGGAUGAUAAUGACAGUACCGGGAGAAUAAGCCCCGGCUAACUCCGUG